GGUUAAGCGACUAAGCGUACACGGUGGAUGCCCUGGCAGUCAGAGGCGAUGAAGGACGUGCUAAUCUGCGAAAAGCGCCGGCGAGGUGAUAUGAACCCUUGACCCGGCGAUGUCCGAAUGGGGAAACCCAGUGUGAUUCGUCACACUAUCGUUAACUGAAUACAUAGGUUAACGAGGCGAACCGGGGGAACUGAAACAUCUAAGUACCCCGAGGAAAAGAAAUCAACCGAGAUUCCCCCAGUAGCGGCGAGCGAACGGGGAGCAGCCCAGAGUCUGAAUCAGCUUGUGUGUUAGUGGAAGCGUCUGGAAAGUCGCACGGUACAGGGUGAAAGUCCCGUACACGAAAAUGCACAGGCUGUGAACUCGAAGAGUAGGGCGGGACACGUGGUAUCCUGUCUGAAUAUGGGGGGACCAUCCUCCAAGGCUAAAUACUCCUGACUGACCGAUAGUGAACCAGUACCGUGAGGGAAAGGCGAAAAGAACCCCGGCGAGGGGAGUGAAAAAGAACCUGAAACCGUGUACGUACAAGCAGUGGGAGCACCUUCGGGUGUGACUGCGUACCUUUUGUAUAAUGGGUCAGCGACUUAUAUUCUGUAGCAAGGUUAACCGUAUAGGGGAGCCGAAGGGAAACCGAGUCUUAACUGGGCGUUAAGUUGCAGGGUAUAGACCCGAAACCCGGUGAUCUAGCCAUGGGCAGGUUGAAGGUUGGGUAACACUAACUGGAGGACCGAACCGACUAAUGUUGAAAAAUUAGCGGAUGACCUGUGGCUGGGGGUGAAAGGCCAAUCAAACCGGGAGAUAGCUGGUUCUCCCCGAAAGCUAUUUAGGUAGCGCCUCGUGAACUCAUCUUCGGGGGUAGAGCACUGUUUCGGCUAGGGGGCCAUCCCGGCUUACCAACCCGAUGCAAACUACGAAUACCGAAGAAUGUUAUCACGGGAGACACACGGCGGGUGCUAACGUCCGUCGUGAAGAGGGAAACAACCCAGACCGCCAGCUAAGGUCCCAAAGUCAUGGUUAAGUGGGAAACGAUGUGGGAAGGCCCAGACAGCCAGGAUGUUGGCUUAGAAGCAGCCAUCAUUUAAAGAAAGCGUAAUAGCUCACUGGUCGAGUCGGCCUGCGCGGAAGAUGUAACGGGGCUAAACCAUGCACCGAAGCUGCGGCAGCGACGCUUAUGCGUUGUUGGGUAGGGGAGCGUUCUGUAAGCCGUUGAAGGUGGCCUGUGAGGGUUGCUGGAGGUAUCAGAAGUGCGAAUGCUGACAUAAGUAACGAUAAAGCGGGUGAAAAGCCCGCUCGCCGGAAGACCAAGGGUUCCUGUCCAACGUUAAUCGGGGCAGGGUGAGUCGACCCCUAAGGCGAGGCCGAAAGGCGUAGUCGAUGGGAAACAGGUUAAUAUUCCUGUACUUGGUGUUACUGCGAAGGGGGGACGGAGAAGGCUAUGUUAGCCGGGCGACGGUUGUCCCGGUUUAAGCAUGUAGGCGGAGGUUCCAGGUAAAUCCGGUACCUUUUAACGCUGAGGUGUGAUGACGAGGCACUACGGUGCUGAAGUAACAAAUGCCCUGCUUCCAGGAAAAGCCUCUAAGCAUCAGGUAACACGAAAUCGUACCCCAAACCGACACAGGUGGUCAGGUAGAGAAUACCAAGGCGCUUGAGAGAACUCGGGUGAAGGAACUAGGCAAAAUGGUGCCGUAACUUCGGGAGAAGGCACGCUGAUAUGUAGGUGAAGCCCCUGCGGGUGGAGCUGAAAUCAGUCGAAGAUACCAGCUGGCUGCAACUGUUUAUUAAAAACACAGCACUGUGCAAACACGAAAGUGGACGUAUACGGUGUGACGCCUGCCCGGUGCCGGAAGGUUAAUUGAUGGGGUUAGCGGUAACGCGAAGCUCUUGAUCGAAGCCCCGGUAAACGGCGGCCGUAACUAUAACGGUCCUAAGGUAGCGAAAUUCCUUGUCGGGUAAGUUCCGACCUGCACGAAUGGCGUAAUGAUGGCCAGGCUGUCUCCACCCGAGACUCAGUGAAAUUGAACUCGCUGUGAAGAUGCAGUGUACCCGCGGCAAGACGGAAAGACCCCGUGAACCUUUACUAUAGCUUGACACUGAACACUGGUCCUUGAUGUGUAGGAUAGGUGGGAGGCUUUGAAGCGUGGACGCCAGUCUGCGUGGAGCCAUCCUUGAAAUACCACCCUUUAAUGGCUGGUGUUCUAACGUAGACCCGUAAUCCGGGUUGCGGACAGUGUCUGGUGGGUAGUUUGACUGGGGCGGUCUCCUCCCAAAGAGUAACGGAGGAGCACGAAGGUUAGCUAAUCCUGGUCGGACAUCAGGAGGUUAGUGCAAUGGCAUAAGCUAGCUUGACUGCGAGAGUGACGGCUCGAGCAGGUGCGAAAGCAGGUCAUAGUGAUCCGGUGGUUCUGAAUGGAAGGGCCAUCGCUCAACGGAUAAAAGGUACUCCGGGGAUAACAGGCUGAUACCGCCCAAGAGUUCAUAUCGACGGCGGUGUUUGGCACCUCGAUGUCGGCUCAUCACAUCCUGGGGCUGAAGUAGGUCCCAAGGGUAUGGCUGUUCGCCAUUUAAAGUGGUACGCGAGCUGGGUUUAGAACGUCGUGAGACAGUUCGGUCCCUAUCUGCCGUGGGCGCUGGAGAAUUGAGGGGGGCUGCUCCUAGUACGAGAGGACCGGAGUGGACGCAUCACUGGUGUUCGGGUUGUCAUGCCAAUGGCACUGCCCGGUAGCUAAAUGCGGAAGAGAUAAGUGCUGAAAGCAUCUAAGCACGAAACUUGCCCCGAGAUGAGUUCUCCCUGAGACUUAAAGUCUCCUGAAGGAACGUUGAAGACGACGACGUUGAUAGGUCGGGUGUGUAAGCGCAGCGAUGCGUUGAGCUAACCGAUACUAAUGAACCGUGAGGCUUAACCUU
rnacentral:rRNA from 1 species